rnacentral:lncRNA from 1 species
CUAAAGGGAAACAGGGUCCUAAAACUCCCCUUCCUGAUCUUGUCACAAUCCACACUCCUAAGGAAGAGGAAGAAUAUGCCCGUCCUGCUGCUGUUUUGGCAACCAAUAUUGAGGUCCCUGUUGCUUCUUAAGUAGAAAUCAUAGCACCUGAGUACCUAGUAUGCAGUGUUCAUUGGCUUAGACGUGGUCAGAUUUUUGUAGUGUCUUAUCUUUUCAAGAAUUUUUAUACUCCAGUACAAGGAUCCAAGCAUAAAUUAUGUUAUAUUUCCUCCCUCAUUCUGUAGUUUGAAAUUGUGUUUGUGGUUCAUGGCAUUGGUUUGGAUGUGUUAUUUUCCUUUAGUACCAUGUUAAACAUUUUUUCGAAAAGCAGAAUUUAAGAAAGUGCAGACAAGCAUUAGAUAUAGAACUUUAAAAGAAUUUUUUUAUUGUACUUAAUAAAAUUUGUACUUGUACUUGAUUUAAAAUGUUCUUCCAGUGAUUAUAUUUUCUGAUCAUAAUCUUUAGAGUAAAUAUUCAAUUCCAUUUUUUAAAAAAUUGCUCGACAUGAUUUAAUCUUGCAAAAGACCAGAAGACGAACGACCAAAAUCUUGGAAGCACCCACGUAGUCUUCUUCACCAAGUUCUUAGUCGUCAUCAUCACUACGUGCGUUUUCAUAGUUCUUUGAACAAACACGAGUGAAAAUUAUGUCAUAAACUUGUAAAAGUUUAAACACUUACUCUACUAAAACAAUACGAAUCCUUCAUCGGCAGGUUCUAAUGGGAGCAAAACAAUGUGACAAUGGGUGAGUUUGGUUAAGUGCUUUCUUAUUUAAAAAACAGCUUAAAAAUAAGCUAAAAAUAGUAUAUUAGGAUAAGCUAUUUUAGAGUAGCUUAUAUAGCUUUAAUUAUUUUUAUUUUAAUUGGUGAUUAGUUUUACAAUAUUCUUAACACGUAUUUAUAGGUAAAUAUUUUCUUGUUGACUAGCUAAGUAUUUCCUUGUUGACUCUGGAUAUUUCCUUGUUAAUUGGGAUAUUCAUUGUUCAAAGAUUUCUUAGGAUCUUAAAUAUUUUAGAUUGGCUUUAAAUUUCAGAUCAAAUGAUGAAAUCAUUCUAGUUUGAAAAAUAUUAUUGAAAAAACUUUUGGUGUUUGCAAUAUAAGAUGGAAAACAUUAUAACGCAUGAUCAGUUUUAAUGUUGAAACUCAAAUCUCUAUCAUAUAGACAUGUUUUGCAUUCUAUAAUCAUGUUAGAAAGAUAUGUUAGAUGAAUUUGUUUAGGCUUAAAAUAAGUAUUUUUAAAAUAAGUGGUUUUACAAAAGUAAAAUAUAUAUUUAUGUUUGGUUAUAAUUAUAAAAAACCUUUUUUAAUUUAAAAUGAUUAUUAACUUGUUUGGGUAUGACUAGUGGAGAAGUGCUUUUUUAAUUCCAAAACUACAUAAAAGAUUUUAUAAACACUUUAUAUGAAAUAAACAUGUUUGUUUAAUAAAAAUAACUUUUUUAUAUACAUGCAUGCCCAUUUUUUUAAUUGAAAAAUACAUUUAAAUAUGAAUAAUAGAUCAAUAAAAACUCCAAACAUUGAUUCUUUUUCUUUUUCUUUCCAAAAUUCAUUCGUUGAUUUGUUUUUAAUUCAUAAACCUAAGAGACAGGACCCUGCCAUCACUUGUGUGCAUUGGCAUGCUCCACAAAAGGUUUAGAGUAUAUUUUGCAUAAUUCAAAUAUUUUAGAGCUCAAACAUAUAAUAUAUAAGAGAAACAAAGUUACCAAACCAUGCUAGCUUGACAACAUAAUAUUUUUCUUUUUUAAACAUAUUUGCCAAAUUCAACUGAAUAUGUAAAUUAAAAAGUUUACUAAGAAAGAACCUGGAAUCUGAACAAGCAUGCUCUACAUCUAACGACCUUUACUGGGCUGUCUCUCAUGUACAAUUAAUUAGGCCCAAACAAAAGAGAAAAGAAAAGAAGAAAACAUUUAUAUAUUUUUUUUUUGUUAAAAAUACUUAAUAAUGUUUGUUAUUUAUAUCUAUUUAGAUAAAUUAAUUCUUGGAAUUUAAAAAAUACUAAAAAAAAGGUUUUUUUUUAAGCUAAAAUGUUAAGUUUUAAACAAUUAAAAACAUUUUAUACCUCACAAGUUGAUUUAUCUAAAUAAAUUAAAAUAAUUUACUAUUACUUUUAAAUUACACUCUUGGCAAUUUUUUGAAGGACCGGACAAUUUUUCUAUAUAAAAAAAUAUGUCAACUAAAGUCCCCAUUUUUUUGAUACAUAGUAAAGCCACCUUUAAUAAGCUUUUUUUUUUUUAAAAAAAAGAAAUUCUUUGCUAAAAAAUAAAUAAAUCAAUUUCAUACAUUUUUUUUAAGGCUGCUAUUUUAUUAUGCCUUAAUCCCAAAGAAGGGAGUAGAAGCGGCCCAAUCCAAAACCCUAUUAUAAUUAUAAGCAUUAGGGUUUCUACCACUUACCAGUUAGUUGCUUUGUUUCACUCACACUGUGUUUGGAGCAGAAUCAGAUCGUGUGUUCCGUACGUUCGUUCGUUCAUUUCCAGUGUCAAACAUGGCGUCUCAGAUGAGCAAGAAGAGAAAGGUAAGUGCUAGAGAGAAUCGAAAACAGCAGCAUUUUCUAUUUGUGUUUAUUUUUUCUUCAUUCUUGUUGUGUAUGUGAAUUUGAACAUUUGAAUGGCGUUAAUGUGUAGUUUGUUGCGGACGGAGUGUUCUUCGCCGAACUGAACGAGGUUCUGACACGUGAAUUGGCGGAGGACGGUUACUCCGGCGUGGAAGUUAGGGUUACGCCGAUGCGCACCGAGAUCAUCAUCAGAGCCACCAGAACCCAGGCUGUUCUAGGUGCGUGUGUUUCUAGAACCUUCCAUUACUUUUGUGGAAUCGAAUUUCGGUUCAUUCAUUCAUAAAUUGUGUUGUUUUGAUUGUAUAUAUAGGUGAGAAGGGAAGGAGAAUUAGGGAACUUACCUCAGUGGUGCAGAAGAGGUUCAAAUUCCCCGAAAACAGUGUCGAGCUUUAUGCUGAGAAGGUCAACAACAGAGGCUUGUGUGCCAUUGCUCAGGCCGAGUCGCUUCGCUACAAGCUCCUCGGCGGCCUCGCUGUUCGCAGGUAUAACAUAUUACUCUGCUAAUGCAUUCUUAUAUAUCAGGCAAGGAUUCUAGCUUUGGUUAUUAUGAAUUUGUACAUUACUUGCUUAAUGUUUAUGUUUCACCAUGGUAGGUAGAUUAAUGUGAAAGCUAGAUCACCUGUUUAUAUUAUUUGAUUUGAUUUAACAAUUUAUUAACUGGUAAUUUUGCUAUUGUUGUUCAUAGGUGUAUACCUAGUCUUUAGAUGUUAACUGGGUAUUAAGUACAUUGGGAACUAUUUGAUGAUACAACGAUUGAAUCCCACAUCCUAGCCACUUUGCCUCCACGUUGACCUAGCUCCCCUCUUGCAUAUUGUUAAUUACCUUGUCCAUAAUCAAAGAGAAAAUUCUGUAUGAAGCCAUCACAACAUGAUAGCUGCUUCUUUGCAAUCUGUUUUAUGCUUACUGCAUGCUGUGAGACUGAAAAUAUAUGUUUUUGCUUCUUACUUUAUUGUUUGUUGGCUGAUUGUAAUAUACUGUGGAUUUCUUUUUAGUUUUGGGUAUACUUAUGUAAGAUGGUAUGAUUAAUCUGCCCAUGGUGUUUAAUGGAACUUAUGGAAGUGGGUACCUUGAGGUGAUAUGUGGUAGCUCCUUAUUUUAGACCUGUGUUUCUGUAGCAACGUGUUUCCAUAUUUUGCAUUACUAAUGUGUUUUUAUGGCCUGGGUGCUUUUAAAAUUUUCCUUGUGUAUUUGUGUGAACACAAUUCUUCUGCAUCCCUGUGGCAAAAUUAUAAUCUCUAUAUAUCUUAAACUAUUUAUUUCAGGGCUUGCUAUGGUGUUUUAAGAUUUGUGAUGGAAAGCGGUGCCAAAGGAUGCGAGGUUUGUUUUAUGGAGGCCUAUUAUUGUAUUGUUUUAUGUAAUGGUUUUUUUGUAAUUGUUGUUUGACUUGAGCAGGUCAUUGUUAGUGGAAAACUGAGAGCUCAGAGAGCCAAGUCCAUGAAAUUCAAGGAUGGAUAUAUGAUUUCUUCUGGACAACCAGUCAAGGAUUACAUUGACUCUGCAGUGAGACAUGUGCUACUAAGACAGGUUUGAUUUUUUAUUCUUCAUAGUUAACUGAUGGAAUUUCUUUUAGCACUAGGAUUUUCAUGUUGUUGGCUCAUUUUCUUUCUUCAUGGAUUGAUGGUGCUAAAUGCUAAUUGAUUCCUUACUGUCUUAUAUAUAGGGUGUUCUUGGUAUCAAGGUUAAGAUCAUGCUUGAUUGGGAUCCUAAAGGGAAACAGGGUCCUAAAACUCCCCUUCCUGAUCUUGUCACGAUCCACACCCCCAAGGAAGAGGAAGAAUAUGCCCGGCCUGCUGCUGUUUUGGCAACUGAUAUUGAGGUCCCUGUUGCUUGAAAAUGUUUUAUUUGUUCUUGAGUAGAAAUUCAUAGCACCUGAGUACCUAGUAUGCAGUGUUCAUUUGCUUAGACCUGGUCAGAUUUUUGUAGUGUCUUAUCUUUGUUGGGAAAGACUAGUUAAAUUUUUUUGUAGUUUCUUAACAGUUUAUGAAAUUGCUACAAAGUGC